UGGCUGCUUUCAGGUAGAUAUGGUUGGCUCAUUCUAAGCUUAUGAAAACACAUCGGUUCCUUGUUGCAGAUAAUUAUACACUAACGAGCAGAUGGUUAUGAAUGCUAUGUUCCAUUUGUGC